CAUUCGAUACGGGCAGACUAGAGUUCGGUAGGGGAGACUGGAAUUCCUGGUGUAGCGGUGAAAUGCGCAGAUAUCAGGAGGAACACCGGUGGCGAAGGCGGGUCUCUGGGCCGAUACUGACGCUGAGGAGCGAAAGCGUGGGGAGCGAACAGGAUUAGAUACCCUGGUAGUCCACGCCGUAAACGGUGGGCGCUAGGUGUGGGGGACUUUCCACGUCCUCUGUGCCGCAGCUAACGCAUUAAGCGCCCCGCCUGGGGAGUACGGCCGCAAGGCUAAAACUCAAAGGAAUUGACGGGGGCCCGCACAAGCGGCGGAGCAUGUGGCUUAAUUCGACGCAACGCGAAGAACCUUACCAAGGCUUGACAUGCAGGGAAAUCUCAUAGAGAUAUGGGGUCCGCAAGGGCUCUGCACAGGUGGUGCAUGGUUGUCGUCAGCUCGUGUCGUGAGAUGUUGGGUUAAGUCCCGCAACGAGCGCAACCCUCGUCCUAUGUUGCCAGCGAGUAAUGUCGGGGACUCAUAGGAGACUGCCGGGGUCAACUCGGAGGAAGGUGGGGAUGACGUCAAAUCAUCAUGCCCCUUAUGUCUUGGGCUGCACACAUGCUACAAUGGUCGGUACAAAGGGCUGCGAGACCGCAAGGUGGAGCGAAUCCCAAAAAGCCGGCCUCAGUUCGGAUUAGGGUCUGCAACUCGACCCUAUGAAGUCGGAGUCGCUAGUAAUCGCAGAUCAGCAACGCUGCGGUGAAUACGUUCCCGGGCCUUGUACACACCGCCCGUCACGUCACGAAAGUCGGUAACACCCGAAGCCAGUGGCCCAACCGCAAGGAGGGAGCUGUCGAAGGUGGGAUCGGCGAUUGGGACGAAGUCGUAACAAGGUACCAAUCCCGCGG
rnacentral:rRNA from 1 species